UCAGAGCUAGUUAUUUCUUAUGGGGUUGUUAUUUCUUAUGUUUUUGCAUUGCUGGCAGCGGGUGCACAAAAGCACAUGAGUCGCUGUCAUUCCGCGCAACGUUUGCGGACGGGAGGAAUCGAGUGAGUACUUGUUGCGAGCCAUACGGCGGCGGCAGCGUCCCGGAGCUGUCAAAUGUUGCGCACAGCCUUCAGUCUUCAGUCAGUGGAGUAACCAGACUAAUCCACCAGACAAACAACUCAGAAGAUUAACCUUUUUUAGCCUCGCUAAACUAUUUUUUGUCUCCACACCCGGAAGCCUGUUUUUAAAACAAUUAUCAAUUUGUCACAUGGCUUUGGAGAAUUCAAUAACAACAAAAAAUGGCGACAAUCACGUUGCUCAGUGUGGUCUUGCUGCGUCAUUAAAAAUAUUCAUGUAAACACGGGGAAUUAAACGGGGAAAUUGCAGACACUGAUGACAACAAACGGAGUACCUAUUCAGCCCUGACGAUGUGUUUGUCCUCUGCCCUGUUUAGUUAUUGCACAAGUUGCUUUGCUUUCUACGUCUGACAUGAACAUUUUUGGCCAGUGCCCUGUACAGUGGGGCUAAUGGAGUUGUUUACAUGAAGUGCGUAGGGCGGACUGACUAGGAGGAGGAGCCGCUACGUCGGCGAGCGACGCCACCGGACUGCUCGAGAGGCUGCUCGCGCCGAAGGGUGGGCGGAGCCCGCGAGGAGAAUCAUAACAAGUCUGACGUCACUCCCUCGGCCUUGUGGUUGGUUUUAAUAAUAUACCGAAGUUUGUCUCUACAAAGUCCUAGCAGAAAAGGGGGGGGGGGUAAAACUUUGCUAAUUUUUUAAAGAGAUAAAACAUUAACGAGCCCUCUGUUCAAAGGGCAGAAUAGAAACAAAGAAAUAAUUAUUCUGUGUCUGAAACCUUAAUAAUAAUGACAUACUUCCAUAUGGAAAGAAAUUGUGAAAUAGUGAUAAACGUGCAUCAUGACAAAAUACAUAAAUAAAUUAAAUAAACAACAUUAUCCUCCCAUUUCCAAGAAUUGUACACUGUUGUUUAUUAUCACAUAUUUAUAUCCAGUAGGUCAAAUUGCAUGUGCAGGUUUGUGCAUUAUUAACUGUCCAGCCUUAAGACACUGGUAGAAGUUUCAUUGUAUAAUGGACAACAUAGUCUGUCUUUUGCAUUGCAGAAUCAAUUUUUGUACCACUUUGGCUGUGCAAAUAGCAAGGCCUAGACAAAUUAAUAAAAUACAUCAGCAUUGUUUUGAUUUAACUGCAAAUAGGAGCUUACUCUGUAUAACUUCCUAAACAUACUGCUGAGCCACUUUCACCAAAUCUAGACUUUUCUGACCUGCAAGGAAAGCUGGAUUAUCAGGAUUGUAUGAGCUCGUUGCAGUAUAUAAGGACUGAUUUAUUGUUGUUCCCCUAAUCACACCAUCAAAUACAGUUUAUGUUUUGUAGCUUUUUUUGUAGCUUUUUUUUUAGGUUACAUGACUGUAUUAUGCUGUAGCUGAAUCUCUUUUUGGUAUUAUUAUGUUAUGGAUGUUACUUAAAAUUAUUCAUAUGGAAACCAAUGUUUUUGAGAAAACUUGCAUAUGUUUUGUAUGAGAUACCAGCUAAUGAGCUGCAAAAAUACAAAAGUAAAACUUUUUCUUUGCACCUGUUGACCUAGAGCAUGGAUAUAAUGGGUGGAUGACGAAUGGAGCGAAGCCCCGGACUGCUAGAUUUGACAGGCUGCCCUGGUUCAGUUAUCACAGUGCUGAUGCUGUCCCCAUCGAAGGUACAGUACUGUGAUAACUGAAGGAUGGCUGCCAACUUGACACGAUUGCAGUGAAUCAAAGCACGUUUGGCUAACGAGCCAGAAGACCAAAGAGAAGAAAGAAAUUAUUGUGUUAUGCUGAUUUUGAAAAGUUUAAUGGGGUAUCCAAAAGUUUGGAUUUUUAAAACAUUCAUCUCAAAUCCUUAACCUAAAAGUUAAUGUUAUCCUCACUUCUUAAUGUCUUUAAGAAAUAAAGGGAUUUUUUUUCUAUUUAAAUGUGACAUUCUCAUGCUUUUGAAAGUUUAGUGGAUCUUAAAUACAAAAUGUUGCAGCCAUGAAACAGUUAACUAUUGAGUGGCUGAAGUUUCAUCUGAUCUUUUUUAAGAUUAAAUUGAAUACUUUCUUAUAGCUUUCUUAAUACCAUUGGCAAUUAAGUUACAUUUACAUAUUAAAACUAAUGUACACAAUGCAAACUUGAAGAAAACUGCCCACCUGUGUUUCCAGUCUGAUUAAUGCUGAUGAACCUUGCAUUUCAACAUAGUUCGUAACACCUUUAUAAAUAUAACUUUUUCAACACUUUGUUCUUCAAAUUUUGCCUUAACAAAAUUUAAGGAAUUAGGGUCUACACUGGGCUGCAGGCUGAGGCAUAAGGUAGUCCUAACUGCUUGUUCCACAUUGUUGUCAACAGAGGGAGCUGAAGAUCUAUUAUUGAUGUGCUUUGGGGUCUACAGGGAACAGGGAAUAUAUCUGUCUCACUGUGUAAUAUGUUACCUUGAAACCUUAAUAAUGAAUAUGUUGAUGGUGAGGUUGUUAAAACAAAUUAAGUGUUAAUUUCUCAGACAUGUUAAAUGGAGCCCGAAGAUUUGGAUGAAUCCAGUUUUGAAAACACAACAAACAAGUUCUUGUUCCAUUUCUAGGUGAGAUUUUUUCCCCCUAACUUAACAGUUGAACAUGAUCCAAGACGCCUACAGUGUUGACGAUUCAAACCAAUGACAGUCUCCAUUUUGGUAUAAAUUGCCGUGUCGUUGUUAAAGUGAAUCUUAGAUAAUGUUCAGUAUGUAAUAUCAACAUAUCAGAUCAAAACAUGACUUGUCGUGUGAUUUAUGAUGUCAAUACUCUGAAAUGAAUCAUAUUUUUCAGAACAGUGUUUUGAAUAAUACAUGCUCUGUUUGAGUCAUGUCUGAUAAACCACAGGUCACUCUGCACCUGUCCUUAGAAUGUUUUAUUCAAAGGGUACAUACUGUAGCUACCGUGGAAAUCCCCUAAGAGUCAUGAUACAUGUUUUGUUUUUGUCUCACUCUAACCUCAAUUUGCUCAACUCGCCUUGAUUCACAUGUUUUUCUGACUCACCGUGUGAUAUCUUGAUACUUUGUGGUAAAGCAUAUUUCUUGAUAAUAAAGCAUGAAAAGUCAA